rnacentral:rRNA from 1 species
UACAGAGGGUGCGAGCGUUGUUCGGAAUUACUGGGCGUAAAGCGUGCGCAGGCGGUUUUGUAAGCCAGAUGUGAAAUCCCCGGGCUCAACCUGGGAAUGGCAUUUGGGACUGCAAGGCUGGAGUUUGGCAGAGGAGACUGGAAUUCCUGGUGUAGCAGUGAAAUGCGUAGAUAUCAGGAGGAAUACCGAUGGCGAAGGCAGGUCUCUGGGCUAUAACUGACGCUCAUGCACGAAAGCGUGGGGAGCAAACAGG